ACCAGGUUGAUUCUGCCUGACGUAGACGCUAUACUCUAAGAUUAACCCAUGCAUGUUAUUGAAUAUAAAGAAAAGACGAACAGCUCAGUAACUCUUAUUUUAUUUGAUGUAUUAGGACUAUUAACUAUGUUAAAUUAUAGAUAAUAAUAAUACAAUAAGAAUAAGAUCUAUCAGUUAGUUGUUAAGGUAAUGGCUUAACAAGACAGUGACGGAUAACGGUAUUACUUUGUAAUAUUCCGGGGAAGGAGCCUGAGAGAUUGCUACUAAGUCUAAGGAUUGCAGCAGGGGCGAAACUUGACCUAUGAUAUAUUAUUGAGGCAGUUAUGAGUAGUAUUUUAUAAUUAUUGUAAUAUUGUAAGUAUAUAUUACAAGAUAAAUCGGAGGGCAAAUCGAGUGCCAGCAGCCGCGGUAAUACUUGUUCCGAUAGUGUGUAUGAUGAUUGAUGCAGUUAAAAAGUCUGUAGUUUAAAUAAUAAUAAGCAUUGUAAGGUAUAUUGUAU
rnacentral:rRNA from 1 species